AAAAUCAUUCCAACACAGCCCAUUCUCGUUCAUCCGGGGCCCCGUUGAACAAGCCGUGGGUUUUUGACGUUCAAAAAUAGCUGCAUCUCGCUCAUUUUGUCUAGCCAUCCUUUACUCGCCAGCAGUGCUCGCUUCGAGGUGAGCUUCUGUGCUUCCCCUCAACCACUUCACUCCAAACACUUCGACGACCUAUUUCCAUAAGCCUUUCGUUGUUUGGUGACAAUCUACGAGCAUCAUAUACCGAGGUGUGUAUGCUCUCGCUCGAUUAGUCGUACCGUCUCUUUCGUGCACAUGGACGCGUGAAAAUGUAUACAACUUGGUGGUUGGUGCUGAAUAGAAGUGCUCAAUUUGUUGAUUAUUUUGAAUGAAAAUCAAAAGAUAAUGGGUACACGUGUUAUUUUAUUAAUAGCAGAAAGGUUUUACAUUACUGUGCAACGCAUAGGAUCGCCGUUCAUAGUGCUCGCACGCCCGCAGCUGAGCGAGAUGUUUAUUUAUUUCAUUUAUGUGAUGUGAGAUGUGAUGAGGCAAAACAUCAGGCGACAGAUUAACAAAAUGAGAUACUGUGUUAUAAGUGCGAAAAGUUUAAGUGGGUAAUUUGGAUGAGGCAGUAUGGAUAGAGGUGUGGCAAUGGAAAACGGGACUGCGACAAUGCGCCGAUAUUCAGAUCAACGGAAAGCAGCUAAACCACCGAUCAGGGAAGAACCAUGGCCAAUAUGUCCCGUAGUUUUGUUGUGUGUGCUGCCAGGCGAAAACUAGUGCAGAUUAACCAGGUGAAACUUAACACAAUCGCACACCAGUUCGAGCUUUUUGGUAGCCAUCUUGAACCCUAAAAAACCCUCGCUCGAAAAGUCAAAAACCAUCACAACGACUUACAAAAACAAUCGCCAGCGAGGGAAAAUUGCACCGAUCUGGAGCGUUGGCGAGAACUCGAAAACCAGAUUUUGGCCUGCGGCUUAUGUUUACACGAUCGGGUGCGAUUCUUUUCGAUGCGAAAGUUGUAAAGGGUCGCUUACACAGAGUGCUGUUUGUUUGUCAAAAUAGAUCGCAUUCGUUAAAAUCUGUCAUUUAAUUCAAACAUCAAACCAAAACUGGCUUCGCCAAA